CUGCUUAGGUAAAUCCGGGCGGUUAAGGCUGAGAACUGAUGACGAGUGCUCAUUAGAGCGCGAAGUGGUUGAUGCCAUGCUUCCAAGAAAAGCCUCUAAGCUUCAGAUAACUAGGAACCGUACCCCAAACCGACACAGGUGGUUGGGUAGAGAAUACCAAGGCGCUUGAGAGAACUCGGGUGAAGGAACUAGGCAAAAUGGCACCGUAACUUCGGGAGAAGGUGCGCCGGUGAGGGUGAAGCAUUUACUGCGUAAGCCCAUGCCGGUCGAAGAUACCAGGCCGCUGCGACUGUUUAUUAAAAACACAGCACUCUGCAAACACGAAAGUGGACGUAUAGGGUGUGACGCCUGCCCGGUGCCGGAAGGUUAAUUGAUGGGGUUAGCUAACGCGAAGCUCUUGAUCGAAGCCCCGGUAAACGGCGGCCGUAACAAUAACGGUCCUAAGGUAGCGAAAUUCCUUGUCGGGUAAGUUCCGACCUGCACGAAUGGCGUAACGAUGGCGGCGCUGUCUCCACCCGAGACUCAGUGAAAUUGAAAUCGCUGUGAAGAUGCAGUGUAUCCGCGGCUAGACGGAAAGACCCCGUGAACCUUUACUAUAGCUUUGCACUGGACUUUGAAUUUGCUUGUGUAGGAUAGGUGGGAGGCUUUGAAGCGAGGACGCCAGUUCUUGUGGAGCCAAUCUUGAAAUACCACCCUGGCAACUUUGAGGUUCUAACUCUGGUCCGUUAUCCGGAUCGAGGACAGUGUAUGGUGGGUAGUUUGACUGAGGCGGUCUCCUCCUAAAGAGUAACGGAGGAGUACGAAGGUGCGCUCAGACCGGUCGGAAAUCGGUCGUAGAGUAUAAAGGCAAAAGCGCGCUUGACUGCGAGACAGACACGUCGAGCAGGUACGAAAGUAGGUCUUAGUGAUCCGGUGGUUCUGUAUGGAAGGGCCAUCGCUCAACGGAUAAAAGGUACUCCGGGGAUAACAGGCUGAUACCGCCCAAGAGUUCAUAUCGACGGCGGUGUUUGGCACCUCGAUGUCGGCUCAUCACAUCCUGGGGCUGAAGCCGGUCCCAAGGGUAUGGCUGUUCGCCAUUUAAAGUGGUACGCGAGCUGGGUUUAGAACGUCGUGAGACAGUUCGGUCCCUAUCUGCCGUGGACGUUUGAGAUUUGAGAGGGGCUGCUCCUAGUACGAGAGGACCGGAGUGGACGAACCUCUGGUGUUCCGGUUGUCACGCCAGUGGCAUCGCCGGGUAGCUAUGUUCGGAAUAGAUAACCGCUGAAAGCAUCUAAGCGGGAAACUAGCCUCAAGAUGAGAUCUCACUGGGACCUUGAGUCCCCUGAAGGGCCGUCGAAGACUACGACGUUGAUAGGUGGGGUGUGUAAGCGUUGUGAGGCGUUGAGCUAACCCAUACUAAUUGCCCGUGAGGCUUGACC
rnacentral:rRNA from 1 species